rnacentral:rRNA from 1 species
GUCCUUGCCGUAAACGAUGUAUACUUGGUGUAACUGGACUCAACCCCGGUUGUGCCGUAGCUAACGCGAUAAGUAUACCGCCUGGGGAGUACGCUCGCAAGGGUGAAACUCAAAAGAAUUGACGGGGACCCGCACAAGCAGUGGAGCAUGUGGUUUAAUUCGAUGCAACGCGAAGAACCUUACCCAGACUUGACAUGCAGUGGAAGUUAGCAGAAAUGUUAACGCCCUUCGGGGCCGCUGCACAGGUGCUGCAUGGCUGUCGU